AGAGUUUGAUCCUGGCUCAGGACGAACGCUGGCGGUGUGCUUAACACAUGCAAGUCGAACGGUAAGGCCCUUUCGGGGGUACACGAGUGGCGAACGGGUGAGUAACACGUGAGUAACCUGCCCUCAUCUCUGGGAUAACAGUCGGAAACGGUUGCUAAUACUGGAUAUGAGCUUGCAAGGCAUCUUGUGGGUUGGAAAGAUAUUUUUUGGUUGGGGAUGGACUCGCGGCCUAUCAGCUUGUUGGUGAGGUAGUGGCUCACCAAGGCUUCGACGGGUAGCCGGCCUGAGAGGGCGACCGGCCACAUUGGGACUGAGAUACGGCCCAGACUCCUACGGGAGGCAGCAGUGGGGAAUAUUGCACAAUGGGCGGAAGUCUGAUGCAGCAACGCCGCGUGCGGGAUGACGGCCUUCGGGUUGUAAACCGCUUUCAAUUGUGACGAAGCUUUUUUGUGACGGUAGCAGUAGAAGAAGCACCGGCUAACUACGUGCCAGCAGCCGCGGUGAUACGUAGGGUGCGAGCGUUGUCCGGAUUUAUUGGGCGUAAAGAGCUUGUAGGUGGUUUGUCGCGUCGGGAGUGAAAACUCAGGGCUUAACUCUGAGCUUGCUUUCGAUACGGGCUGACUUGAGGGAGGUAGGGGAGAAUGGAAUUCCUGGUGGAGCGGUGGAAUGCGCAGAUAUCAGGAGGAACACCGGUGGCGAAGGCGGUUCUCUGGACCUUUCCUGACGCUGAGAAGCGAAAGCGUGGGGAGCGAACAGGCUUAGAUACCCUGGUAGUCCACGCUGUAAACGGUGGGUACUAGGUGUGGGGGACAUUCCACGUUCUCCGUGCCGUAGCUAACGCAUUAAGUACCCCGCCUGGGGAGUACGGCCGCAAGGCUAAAACUCAAAGGAAUUGACGGGGCCCCGCACAAGCGGCGGAGCAUGCGGAUUAAUUCGAUGCAACGCGAAGAACCUUA
rnacentral:rRNA from 1 species